rnacentral:misc_RNA from 1 species
CGGAUUUCGACGAGGGAAUGGGUUGAUAAAGCCUUCCCCCUCGUCUUCUACCGCUUCGGUGGCGUCCCGUUGGCAGCUCCUACGGAGAUCGCUCCGAAGAACUACGCGGCGGUUGUGGCUGGUCGUCCUAAACCGACCGACGAGUCUGCAAUAUAUUUGAUUUUGAGGCAAUUUUUUAUUGCGGAAAAAUCUCGAUAUUGCUUG